UACGUAGGGUGCGAGCGUUGUCCGGAAUUAUUGGGCGUAAAGAGCUUGUAGGCGGUUUGUCGCGUCUGCCGUGAAAAUCCGGGGCUCAACCCCGGACUUGCGGUGGGUACGGGCAGACUAGAGUGUGGUAGGGGAGACUGGAAUUCCUGGUGUAGCGGUGAAAUGCGCAGAUAUCAGGAGGAACACCGAUGGCAAAGGCAGGUCUCUGGGCCACUACUGACGCUGAGAAGCGAAAGCGUGGGGAGCGAACAGG
rnacentral:rRNA from 1 species